GUGCCAGCGCCGCGGUAAUACCGGCAGCUCGAGUGAUGGCCGAUUUUAUUGGGCCUAAAGCGUCCGUAGCCGGCCGAGCAAGUCCAUCGGGAAAUCCGCCAGCCCAACUGGCGGGCGUCCGGUGGAAACUGCACAGCUUGGGACCGGAAGGCUCGAAGGGUACGUUCGGGGUAGGAGUGAAAUCCCAUAAUCCCGCACGGACCACCGAUGGCGAAAGCACUUCGAGAAAACGGAUCCGACAGUGAGGGACGAAAGCCAGGGUCUCCAACCGGAUUAGAUACCCCGGUAGUCC
rnacentral:rRNA from 1 species